GGGGGGCGGGGGGGAAGGGGGGUGCAGUGUGCAGACCCUCUCAUUGCCCGGGGAGCCCCUCAGCCGACCUCAGGGGAAGAUCUCAUUUUAUCAGAGCUUCUCCUCUUGUGCACUUGCCGGAGAGGCCCAAGGGGAAGCCGGUUUGGCACCCCCUCCCCCAAUUUCCAGUACUCACUCGUGAAGUGCAUGGGUGGUACUUGGCGGUCAAGGCCAAGAGUAGGGGACAAACGGAUGGUACAGGCCAGAGGCGGGAAGCCUUCUUCUGCAUGGAGACCUUGGAUAUGGCUUUUGUGGCUUUGCAGUGCAAGAACCUGGCCCCGUAUGGCCAGGUAGAAAAGGGUGCUUUUGCCCUCCCCGAUUCCAACAUCCAAAUGUGUAAUGCAGAACUAACAAAUUGCCGAACCGAGCAGCUAUGAAGAGGAUAACCAAGGUGCUAAAAAAAAAAAAAAAAAAAGAAAAAAAAUUCUCUGAAUUAGCAGCAAAUCAUUUUCCACCUGUGCUAAAUACCUUUUGGGGUCUCUGUGAGACCGAGCCCCUUUCUUGGAGAAUUGCUCCUCCCUCCCCCCACCCCACGAAGGACUGCAAACGCAGGUCAUGCUUACCUCACAUGACCCCAUGAGGCUGGCUCACUCCUGAUCCACGCUGGACACAAAGCAAGACAGAUUCUUGCUCUGGGAGCUGGAAUGUCAGACAGUCGUUUGGUUGUGCCGAAGCUGGGAGAAGGUAGCGCUCUGGGGUUCAGGGCCACUAUCUUCAGCCAUGUGUACUGACAGGUGGAAAGCCAGAGGGGGGUGUAGGGUAAGUUUUGCCAUCAGAGAUGUUGAGAGAAGCAGACCAGCGACAUCCACUCCUUUUAUAAAGGAUGACCUUCCAUUUGCUCUCUGGCCAACCCUCAACUCCCAACUGUGUCCUCUCCUCAUGCUUCCUCUUAAGCCUCAUCCCUCCAUUCCCUUUUAAUCUAAUCAGCCUCUUGGCCAAUGCCUGCUACAUGGUCAUCUUCUCAGUGCCUUGAAAUUUUUUUUUCUAAUAUACCCACAGAUUAUAACAUUGUAAUGUAUUAUUUUGUCAGAGACAAGGGAACUAGCAGCUUGUGGCAUACUAUCUCAGGACCUGUGAUAGGGUGAUUCUCUCCAUCCCAAAGAGACAGCAGUUUCAGGAUGUCAAGACACAAAAAGCAGCCAAAGGAGUUUACUGUCCCUUUAUUUCCCAUGAAAUACAACUGCUAAGUGGUGUUCAUAUUUUACCCACACUGCUUCCUGUCCUCUGCCAAGGGAGGGAUUUCAUCCAACAUCCCAGCUGUUCUGGGGCCUGAGCUGGGGUGGCUGGGUUGGAAGGGAGGAGGACACACAGAAGGGUUUUGCUCACAUGCCACAGCUGUGCCUGGGGCUUCUGUGCAGGCAAUCAGGCGACCUUCCCUCAGGCAGAAGCCUGCGGAAACGUCCAGGCUGACUCUCCUCAUUUGGCACAGUGAAGGGCAAAUAUCUCUCCAUUAUCUGUUAGAAAAUGAAUGAGCAAGCACAAUCUCUAGAUGAAGGAAAACUUAAAGAGGAAGUCAUAUUUCCUAUUCUCUGGGUUUAAUAAUAUUCUGCAAAAAAGGUCAUGGGUCUGGGUGUAACUAGUUCAAGAACUACGGUCACAGUGUACUAACCUCUUCUGUUCUCCUCUGGAGAAAAAAAAAAAAUCAGAAUAUAAGGUGUUUGGGUCAACUAUAACAUAAACCUAGGCAUGCCAAGCUCUGUGCAGGGAUUUUUACAGGGACCUCAUUUAAAUGUCACAGUGGUUCUAUAGUAUGACUCUGUCACUAUGAAUUUUCUAAGCAGUUAAGUGAGUACCUCAAAGGCCACACAACUGGCAAGUAGGAUUCCAAUCUGGUGUUAAGUGAAAAAUGCGGUACAAAAAAAAUAAAUUAAAUAAAAUAAAGAUAAAAGGUCACAUAGCUGGAAUGUGGCCUUGAAUUUACCUUAUUCUUAAAGCUAUCCUGAUUCCAUUGUACUCCAAUGCAAUAUUUCCCAAACUUGUCUGAUAAGACUCCUCAGGGUGAAUGCUUAUUAUGAAAACUCUGGGCCUGGGUCUGAUCCUGCUGCAGACCUCAUAAACCAGAAUCUUUUAUACAGGGUACGGGAAUUCACCCUAGGUGAAUCUGACCUGGCAAGUUUUAUAAAUACUGCUGGUAUGCCUUAAUUUCUUCUUAACUUAGUAAUUUUUUUAAAAUGUUUAUUUAUUUAUGAUAGUCACAGAGAGAGAGAGAGGGAGGCAGAGACACAGGCAGAGGGAGAAGCAGGCUCCAUGCACCGGGAGCCUGAUGUGGGAUUCGAUCCCGGGUCUCCAGGAUCACUCCCUGGGCCAAAGGCAGGCGCCAAACCGCUGCGCCACCCAGGGAUCCCCUUAACUUAGUAAUUCUUGGCAAGAUGCAUGCAAAAAAAAAAAGUUUUUCUCUUUUUAAUAAACUUUUUAUUUGGGGAUAAUUUUAGAUAC
rnacentral:lncRNA from 1 species